rnacentral:rRNA from 1 species
CCUACGGGAGGCAGCAGUAGGGAAUUUUCCGCAAUGGGCGAAAGCCUGACGGAGCAAUACCGCGUGAGGGAUGACGGCCUGUGGGUUGUAAACCUCUUUUCUCAAGGAGGAAGUUUCUGACGGUACUUGAGGAAUAAGCAUCGGCUAACUCUGUGCCAGCAGCCGCGGUAAUACAGAGGAUGCAAGCGUUAUCCGGAAUCACUGGGCAUAAAGCGUCUGUAGGUUGUUUAGUAAGUCUGCUGUUAAAGACUGGGGCUUAACCCCAGAAAAGCAGUGGAAACUGCUAGACUCGAGUGUGGUAGAGGUAGAGGGAAUUCCUAGUGUAGCGGUGAAAUGCGUAGAUAUUAGGAAGAACACCAAUGGCGAAGGCACUCUACUGGGCCAUAACUGACACUGAGAGACGACAGCUAGGGGAGCAAACGGGAUUAGAUACCCCGGUAGUCCUAGCCGUAAACGAUGGAUACUAGAUGUUGCACGUAUUAACCCGUGCAGUAUCGUAGCUAAGGCGUUAAGUAUCCCGCCUGGGAAGUACGCUCGCAAGAGUGAAACUCAAAUGAAAUUGACGG